rnacentral:rRNA from 1 species
UACGAAGGGGGCUAGCGUUGCUCGGAAUUACUGGGCGUAAAGCGCACGUAGGCGGCUUUCUAAGUCGGGGGUGAAAUCCUGGAGCUCAACUCCAGAACUGCCUUCGAUACUGGAGAGCUUGAGUCCGGGAGAGGUGAGUGGAACUGCGAGUGUAGAGGUGAAAUUCGUAGAUAUUCGCAAGAACACCAGUGGCGAAGGCGGCUCACUGGCCCGAUACUGACGCUGAGGUGCGAAAGCGUGGGGAGCAAACAGG